rnacentral:rRNA from 1 species
AACGAACGCUGGCGGCAUGCCUAACACAUGCAAGUCGAACGACACCUUCGGGUCUGGUGGCGCACGGGUGCGUCACGCGUGGGAACCUGCCCUUAGGCUUGGAAUAACUCCCCGAAAGGGGUGCUAAUACCGGUUAAUGUACUCGGACCAAAGAUUUAUCGCGGUUGGAUGGGCGCGCGUGGUAUUAGCUAGUUGGUAGGGGAAAAGCCUAUCACGGCUACGAUCCAUAGCUGGUCAGUGAGGCAGCGCAGCGACACUGGUCCUGUGACACGGCCCAGACUACUACAGGAAGCAGGAGAGGGUAAUAUAGCAAAACGGGGGAAGGGCAGAAGGAGCAAGGGUGGGAGAGUGAUGAAGGCCGUAGGGAAGUAAAGCUCUUUAACCCGGGAUGAUAAUGACAGUACCGGAAGAAUAAGCACCGGCUAACUCCGUG